UAAGUAGGUGGCAAGCGUUGUCCGGAAUUAUUGGGCGUAAAGCGCGCGCAGGCGGCCUCUUAAGUCUGAUGUGAAAGCCCCCGGCUCAACCGGGGAGGGCCAUUGGAAACUGGGAGGCUUGAGUAUAGGAGAGAAGAGUGGAAUUCCACGUGUAGCGGUGAAAUGCGUAGAGAUGUGGAGGAACACCAGUGGCGAAGGCGACUCUUUGGCCUAUAACUGACGCUGAGGCGCGAAAGCGUGGGGAGCAAACAGG
rnacentral:rRNA from 1 species